UACAGAGGCCUCAAGCGUUGUUCGGAAUUACUGGGCGUAAAGGGAAUGUAGGUGGUUGAGUAAGUCAGAUGUGAAAGCCCCGGGCUUAACCUGGGAAUUGCAUUUGAUACUGUUCAGCUCGAGUGCGAGAGAGGAGAGCGGAAUUCCUGGUGUAGGGGUGAAAUCCGUAGAUAUCAGGAGGAAUACCGAUGGCGAAGGCAGCUCUCUGGCUCGCAACUGACACUGAGAUUCGAAAGCAUGGGUAGCAAACAGG
rnacentral:rRNA from 1 species